rnacentral:lncRNA from 1 species
CAUGGUAUCGCGAUCAGCUUGCGUGCACCUAGACUAAUUCCACGGGAUACCUAUCACCUCCCACCCACAACAAGUACAGGUAACUCUGUCCAUUAAGGCUAGGACAUGAAAGAAACCACCUAAUGUUAUUUGUCUCUACUGGGGUUUAAACAUGAAAUCUCAUAGUUCUCAACCACUUCAUUAACACAGAAAAUAUUAACAAGUCUAUCAGCAGCUGUUUUCAGUUGUCAGUCACAAAAUGGCCUGGAUCUCACAUUUACACAGGAAAUAUAGCGCACAUACUCAACAAUAUAUUGCAUAACAAAACUGUAUGACUUUCCCCUAACACACGAAGCUUAGGAGAUGAAAUCAAUUCAACCAAUUGACAACCUAUUUACAUAAAAUACAGCUCAACCUUAUCAAUUCUUCUAUCAAAGAGCUAAUAGAAAUUGAGUCAACACCAAAAUUGAACAAUAUAAAUGCCGAAUUGCUAAAAAAAAAAAAUGAGCAGAGAGAGAAAAGGAUUCUAACUGGCGACAGUUUUGAGAGAUUCGUCAACGGCAGAGACAAUAGCGAAUUUACGGAGCUUGCAGAGAAUGUCGCUAAUCUUCUCCCGGCCAUCCGGGUAAAAAACGUACUCAUCGGAUUGAGUUCCGUCAUACUUGACCGGGCUGCUGGUUUUGGUCACCGGCGAUGAAACCCCACCACUGUACUCACCUUCUGAAGCAUAUGCAUCUGACGGUUUCUCUUGUCCUCUCCGGUUGAAAAGUUUCCCGGCGACUGCUCGGAAUUGUUGUAUAAUGCCCAUUACCUGUUAUCCACAAGAAAAUUUGCUGCUAUUUCGUCCCCUCUUUACCUAAUAUAUGAAAAAGACUAUUUUUCCAUAUUUAUCCGUCUGACGUUUCAAUAGAUGUUUCAGCCCGUUAUUUAUUUGACAUUAAUUUAGCCAUCGUUUGAUAGAGUGUAUUAAAAAAAAAAACAACGUAUUUGUAUCAUUUAAACUUAGAAAUAAUGCAUAAAGUCUAUCUAAACCAAUAUUAUUUUACAAAUUUCAUAUUUAAACUUUCAAAUAUUUUUAUUACCUCCUAAAUUAUAAUUUUUAAACUUCACCCCUGGAAGAAUAUUGCUUAAUGUGUCUAGUAAUAAAUUAGUUCAAAAUAAAAACCAAAAACAAAAAAUAGAUAGGGAUCAAUUGUUGACACGUGAGUUGUGUAAAAAAAAAAACCUUAUUUUUAUAAGGUAGAAUUAUUUAUUUAUUAAAAACAACUUCAUAUUCAAAAAUUGAAUUCAAAUUUUUUAAUUAAAAAUAAAAUAAUACACAUUAUUCCGCCACAACUUUUAGUGGUAAACCAAAAAAUCACUCAUUAUUCUUUUACCUAAUUAAAAAAAUUAGGGGAAAAAAUGUAGUUCAACCAUAUUGUCAUGCUACUUUACUGAAAUGUACUAAAGUAAAAUAUUCUGUCAUAAGCUCUAAUUUUAUUUUAUUUUUGGUGAGUACAAAAUUGCAAAUGCCAAUUCUUGCCAUUUGUGUUAAACUCAAGCAAAUCGAGUCAAUUUUAUUUAUUUAUUUAUUUAUUUAUUUAUUUUCAGAGUUAUCUUUUGUGACAUAUGGAGAGAAAGUGGCAAAAACUAUAUGUUUUGAAGGUAGUUUAAAAAAAAUGAGAGGAAACGAGAUUUCUUUGUUUUCUUAUAUAAUUUAAAUAGAGAAACAUAAUUUUUUAAAGAUUUUUUUACGUGGAAAGAUGAAAAUCUCUUAUAUGUAAAAAUUAAAAAAUAUUUCCACAGUUCGAUAAAUAUUUGACGAAGACUUAAAAUACUAACCAAAAAUUGCUCAAUGCAUAUUUAAGGAAUUAUUGUUAACCUGACCAUCAAAAUUGUCACAUCCAAUCCUAUACCUCAAAGUGAAAUAUAAUAUGAUCGUAGCAAUAAUAAACCUAACAAAAAGUUGAGGUUGACCCCAAGAGGAGUAUGUGUGUGUCAAGGCAUUUGAGAGUGUGAAUUUUCUAAACUAAUUUCAAACAAGGGAAUGAUCGAAUAAUUACUUUUAAAACUAGACUAUUUUAAUAAGCUACGACUCAGACACUAAUGAAUUUAUUUUCAAUUAUAAAAGAACUUGAAAUUGUAGCCUCAAUAUGACAUACCUAAUUCAUGAGCACAAGUAUCUUGCUCAAAUACAUCUUUUCCAUCUGCAAAUGUUUAAGAAGUCAUCUCCUGAUUCGUUGAUCUAUAGAUCAAGCUUAGGCAGGUUUGCAUAUAGUGUUUUAGACGGAAGGAUUAAUAAUAAAAAAUAAUUGUAUUGAUAAUUACUUCUUGGAGUUUAUCAACUUUAUCAAGCUAAUUUCCAAAAGUUCUUCACGUUGGGUUCUAGUGUUGAAAAUGAAUAGAAAAUGGAGGGAAUGUGAAAAAAUAACUUCACUUAUUGAAAGAGUCUUUCUCUCACAUUGAUAGGAUAAAGGAACUUUCAAGUGUUUAAAUAUCGAACCACUUCUUCAUGUUGUUAAUUAAGGGUCGAGAAGAAGACAAGCCUCACACUUAAGUGUGUAAGGCCUAGAGAUGUUGGGGAUAUUAUUUGCUUUGAGCUUACGCCUGCACGACUUCUUGUCUUAAGUUGAGGUAUCACACAACCCCAGCUAUAAAUGAAACUAAUAUUGUUUUUGGAAUUUGAAAUGCAUACUUUAGUUUUUAUGUGUCUGGUAGUGCAAAUUCUCAGAGUUUCAGACUCCAGAAAGCAUUAAUAAUGUCCAAACAUCAGGCAAUGUGGUUAAGCACAUCAUAAUACCAGUUUAAUACUUCUAUAUGAUCAUAUAAUACAUGUAUUACAGAGUUAUAACACAAAUCACAAGAAAAUUACAGAAGCACAACCUAUAUUGUCAAGAAAGAUGAAAGUGUAGCUUCCUCAUUGCCAUGAUUUUACUGUUUUCUACAUUCGAGAACGAAUUAAAACAUUUUUUGGUUUAGAUUUUGUAGGCGUUGAACUCUUGAUAGGCUCGUCAGAGAAUUCGAAGGAAUCUAAUCCGUUGGUACACUUAGCUGACGCCUCAUUUUGCUGCUUCAUGUUGUUCAUGUCAUCCUGAAGUUUCUCCAUCUUUGCUUGCAUCUCCUCCCUCAUAACAGUAAAAUCUUGUUUGUCAAGUCUAGGACGUGAAGGCAAUUUAUCCUUCGAUCUUUCCUUAACGAUUUUACUCCCACCUGCAGAAACAAUUGAAAUCCAAUUAGUAUAUCAAUCCAAAAGGCUAAGAUUAUAAUCUCGACUUGAGAAAAGUAUCAAGUAGAGCUAGUUCCAAGGACGAAUGGGUCAACAUAUAGCUGUUUGCAUUAUCCAAAAUCCCAAACAACUGGUCAAUACUGAAAGGACCUCAACAAAUCAACGGAGGGGUGACACCAUUUUGGUUGUAGACAGGAUUGGGUGGGACUAUAAUAACAUUAAGGAUGGAAGUGCUGAUGUGACCAGGAAUCCUGGAGGACGUUGGAAAAACAAGUAUCACAUGAAUUGUGCAUGAGCUUAACGGCAUAACCGUAAUAAGCAUUCCAAUCUUGUGACUAUCAUAUCCUAAAUCAGUCAUAACAUUAGAUUACAAAACUUUAAACAAAGUGUGAUCAAAAUUCAAAGGGAAGGGAGCCUGUGCUGGAUGGGGUAUAGAGUAAGAUGUUUCUCAAGAUUAGCCAGGAUAACAAAUCCACGAGCUUUUUAUUUGGAGCAAAAGAUUAUUUGCACCUAGCGCCCUUCCCCAUACAUAUACCAAAGAUGGGAGUGAGUUGGGACUAAGCAGCCCAAAUUAUCAUUCUCCUAAUCAUACCCCAUUCCCUGACCUACCCCUUACCCCAGACAUCAGAUAAGACCCACAUUUUUUUAAAGAAGUGAGUAAAAUAUAUCCCAUGCUCGAUUCGUGUUCUCUAUUAUGUUUAGGUCCUUCCAGACAAACUCUAGGAACAAGAACUUCUUGUGUUGACCAAGGACAAUAAGUUUGGAAGAACCAAUUACUGCAAAUGACAUUGAGAUAAAAUGAUAGAAAUCAUGCAUUCACUGGGUUCAAAAUUAUUCUAAGCAUCCCAGCUUCUGGUGGUUUGUCAGUAUUGAUUAUCCGACUUUAAUGCUGGACUAAAAUGAAAGAGAAAAAAGAAGAAAUUAAUUGAAAGAAAUUAUUCCAAGGAAACAUAGAAAAGUGGACCACCCUAUUUGGAGGAAUGUCAUUGACAGUAAAUACAACAUGACAUAAGAAACAGGAAGUCUUAAAAUAAGCUAGGCGCAAAUUCAAACACGAGGAUGUAAGCCAAAAAACUUAAAUAAGCUAAGCGAAAAUACAAAGAAGAGGAAGCAAACCAGGAAAAUACAUACACGAGAAAGUAAACGAGCAAGCUUAAAUAAGCUAGGCACAAAUACAAACACGGAGAUGUAAACCAGAAAACUUAAACAAGCUAAGCGCAAAUACAAACACGAGCAAGUAAACCAGAAAACUUAAAUAAGCUAAGCACAAAAUACAAAAACAAGGAUGUAAACCAGAAAACUUAAAUAAGCUAAGCGCAAAUAUGUAAACUAGAAAACUCAAAUAAGCUAUGCGCAAAUACAAACACGAAGAAGUAAACCAGAAAACUUAGAUAAGCUAGGGGCAAAUACAAACACGAGGAUGUAAACCAGAAAACUUAAAUAAGCUAAGCGCAAAAUACAAACACGAGGAUAUAAAAAACAGAAAACUUAAAUAAGCUAUUCACAAAUACAAACACGAAGAAGUAAACGAGAAAACUUAAAUAAGCUAGGUGCAAAUACAAACAUGAGGAAGUAGACCAGAAAACUUAAAUAAGUUAGGUGCAAAAUACAAACACAAGGAAGUAAACCAGAAAACUUAAAUAAGCUAGGCUCUGUUAUUGACUUAUGACUUAUAGUACAGGAUUUGGAGGGUAUAUUUAAUAGUCCGGAGGUAAUUUCAAACACAUUGCAUAUAUAAUGGCACCAACAGAAUUAGCUUUGAUCUGAAAAUUAGUGUAGAAAGUUGCCCAAUCUUAACAAGUUCUUUUUUUUUAAUAACCGUGGUAUCGCGAUCAGCUUGCGUGCACCUAGACUAAUUCCACGGGAUACCUAUCACCUCCCACCCACAACAAGUACAGGUCCACUAAGGCUAGGACAUGAAAGAAACCACCUAAUGUUUAUUUGUCUCUACUGGGGGUUUAAACAUGAAAUCUCAUAGUUCUCAACCACUUCAUUAACACAGAAAAUAUUAACAAGUCUACCAGCAGCUGUUUUCAGUUGUCAGUCGCAAAAUGGCUGCACGACUUCUUGUUAAAUUCUCAGAGUUUCAGACUCCAGAAAGCAUUAAUAAUGUCCAAAC